rnacentral:rRNA from 1 species
UACGUAGGGUGCGAGCGUUAAUCGGAAUUACUGGGCGUAAAGCGUACGCAGGCGGCUAUGUAAGACAGGUGUGAAAUCCCCGGGCUUAACCUGGGAACUGCAUUUGUGACUGCAUAGCUAGAGUCUGUCAGAGGGGGGUGGAAUUCCACGUGUAGCAGUGAAAUGCGUAGAGAUGUGGAGGAACACCGAUGGCGAAGGCAGCCCCCUGGGAUAAGACUGACGCUCAUGUACGAAAGCGUGGGGGAGCAACAGG